rnacentral:rRNA from 1 species
AUUGAACGCUGGCGGCAUGCCUUACACAUGCAAGUCGAACGGCAGCACGGGUGCUUGCACCUGGUGGCGAGUGGCGAACGGGUGAGUAAUACAUCGGAACAUGUCCUGUAGAGGGGGAUAGCCCGGCGAAAGCCGGAUUAAUACCGCAUACGAACUACGUAUGAAAGCGGGGGACCUUCGGGCCUCGCGCUUUAGGGUUGGCCGAUGGCUGAUUAGCUAGUUGGUGGGGUAAAGGCCUACCAAGGCGACGAUCAGUAGCUGAUCUGAGAGGACGACCAGCCACACUGGGACUGAGACACGGCCCAGACUCCUACGGGAGGCAGCAGUAGGGAAUUUUGGACAAUGGGCGAAAGCCUGAUCCAGCAAUGCCGCGUGUGUGAAGAAGGCCUUCGGGUUGUAAAGCACUUUUGUCCGGAAAGAAAUCCUUGGCCCUAAUACGGUCGGGGCAUGACGGUACCGGAAGAAUAAGCACCGGCUAACUACGUG